rnacentral:rRNA from 1 species
AUUGAACGCUGGCGGCAGGCCUAACACAUGCAAGUCGAGCGGAUGAAGGGAGCUUGCUCCUGGAUUCAGCGGCGGACGGGUGUGUAAUGCCUAGGAAUCUGCCUGGUAGUGGGGGAUAACGUCCGGAAACGGGCGCUAAUACCGCAUACGUCCUGAGGGAGAAAGUGGGGGAUCUUCGGACCUCACGCUAUCAGAUGAGCCUAGGUCGGAUUAGCUAGUUGGUGGGGUAAAGGCCUACCAAGGCGACGAUCCGUAACUGGUCUGAGAGGAUGAUCAGUCACACUGGAACUGAGACACGGUCCAGACUCCUACGGGAGGCAGCAGUGGGGAAUAUUGGACAAUGGGCGAAAGCCUGAUCCAGCCAUGCCGCGUGUGUGAAGAAGGUCUUCGGAGUGUAAAGCACUUUAAGUUGGGAGGAAGGGCAGUAAGUUAAUACCUUGCUGUUUUGACGUUACCAACAGAAUAAGCACCGGCUAACUUCGUG